rnacentral:misc_RNA from 1 species
CGCACAUUGCGCCCCGUGGUAUUCCGCGGGGCAUGCCUGUUCGAGCGUCAUCAUAACCCUCAAGCCUAGCUUGGUGUUGGGGCCUGCCACCGCGGCAGCCCCUAAAAUCAGUGGCGGUGCCGCCUGGUUCCACGCGCAGUAAUUUAUCCUCGCUAUGGACCUCAGGCGGUUGCUGGCCAGCAACCCUAUAUUUUCACGGUUUGACCUCGGAUCAGGUAGGGAUACCCGCUGAACUUAA